GAUGAAGAACGCAGCGAAAUGCGAUAAGUAAUGUGAAUUGCAGAAUUCAGUGAAUCAUCGAAUCUUUGAACGCACAUUGCGCCCGCCAGUAUUCUGGCGGGCAUGCCUGUUCGAGCGUCAUUACAACCCUCAGGCCCCCGGGCCUGGCGUUGGGGAUCGGCGGAGCCCCCCGUGGGCACACGCCGUCCCCCAAAUGCAGUGGCGGUCCCGCCGCAGCUUCCAUCGCGUAGUAGCUAACACCUCGCGAGUGGAGAGCGGCGCGGCCACGCCGUAAAACACCCAACUCUUCUGAAGUUGACCUCGAAUCAGGUAGGAAUACCCGCUGAACUUAAGCAUAUCAAUAAGCGGAGGA
rnacentral:misc_RNA from 1 species